rnacentral:rRNA from 1 species
AGAGUUUGAUCAUGGCUCAGAUUGAACGCUGGCGGCAUGCCUUACACAUGCAAGUCGAACGGCAGCACGGGGGCAACCCUGGUGGCGAGUGGCGAACGGGUGAGUAAUACAUCGGAACGUGUCCUGUAGUGGGGGAUAGCCCGGCGAAAGCCGGAUUAAUACCGCAUACGCUCUACGGAGGAAAGGGGGGGAUCUUAGGACCUCCCGCUACAGGGGCGGCCGAUGGCAGAUUAGCUAGUUGGUGGGGUAAAGGCCUACCAAGGCGACGAUCUGUAGCUGGUCUGAGAGGACGACCAGCCACACUGGGACUGAGACACGGCCCAGACUCCUACGGGAGGCAGCAGUGGGGAAUUUUGGACAAUGGGCGAAAGCCUGAUCCAGCAAUGCCGCGUGUGUGAAGAAGGCCUUCGGGUUGUAAAGCACUUUUGUCCGGAAAGAAAACCUCUGCCCUAAUACGGCGGGGGGAUGACGGUACCGGAAGAAUAAGCACCGGCUAACUACGUGCCAGCAGCCGCGGUAAUACGUAGGGUGCAAGCGUUAAUCGGAAUUACUGGGCGUAAAGCGUGCGCAGGCGGUCCGCUAAGACAGAUGUGAAAUCCCCGGGCUUAACCUGGGAACUGCAUUUGUGACUGGCGGGCUAGAGUAUGGCAGAGGGGGGUAGAAUUCCACGUAGCAGUGAAAUGCGUAGAGAUGUGGAGGAAUACCGAUGGCGAAGGCAGCCCCCUGGGCCAAUACUGACGCUCAUGCACGAAAGCGUGGGGAGCAAACAGGAUUAGAUACCCUAGUAGUCC